GGGGAAUUUUCCGCAAUGGGCGAAAGCCUGACGGAGCAAGACCGCGUGAGGGAGGAAGGCCUUUGGGUUGUAAACCUCUUUUCUCAGGGAAGAAGAAAGUGACGGUACCUGAGGAAUCAGCCUCGGCUAACUCCGUGCCAGCAGCCGCGGUAAUACGGAGGAGGCAAGCGUUAUCCGGAAUUAUUGGGCGUAAAGCGUCCGUAGGUGGCUUUCUCAAGUCUGCGGUUAAAGACUGGGGCUUAACUCCAGAAAGGCCGUGGAAACUGAAAGGCUAGAGAUCCGUAGGGGUAGAGGGAAUUCCCGGUGUAGCGGUGAAAUGCGUAGAGCUCGGGAAGAACAUCGGUGGCGAAAGCGCUCUACUGGACGGUAUCUGACACUGAGGGACGAAAGCUAGGGGAGCGAAUGGGAUUAGAUACCCCA
rnacentral:rRNA from 1 species